rnacentral:rRNA from 1 species
CUACGAAGGGGGCAAGCGUUGUUCGGAAUAACUGGGCGUAAAGCGCACGUAGGCGGAAUGUUAAGUUAGAGGUGAAAUCCCAGGGCUCAACCCUGGAACGGCCUUUAAUACUGGCAAUCUAGAGACCGAGAGAGGUGAGUGGAAUUCCGAGUGUAGAGGUGAAAUUCGUAGAUAUUCGGAGGAACACCAGUGGCGAAGGCGGCUCACUGGCUCGGUACUGACGCUGAGGUGCGAAAGCGUGGGGAGCAAACAGAAUUAGAAACCCUAGUAGUCC